ACCCGUUGUUCGAUGGCGAGGCAGCCUUCUGGCAUCAUACUGACACUGAGGCUCGAAAGCGUGGGUAGCAAACAGGAUUAGAUACCCUGGUAGUCCACGCCGUAAACGAUGUCUACUAGUCGUUGGGUCCCUUGAGGACUUAGUGACGCAGCUAACGCAAUAAGUAGACCGCCUGGGGAGUACGGCCGCAAGGUUAAAACUCAAAUGAAUUGACGGGGGCCCGCACAAGCGGUGGAGCAUGUGGUUUAAUUCGAUGCAACGCGAAGAACCUUACCUGGUCUUGACAUAUCUAGAAUCCUGCAGAGAUGCGGGAGUGCCUUCGGGAAUUAGAAUACAGGUGCUGCAUGGCUGUCGUCAGCUCGUGUCGUGAGAUGUUGGGUUAAGUCCCGCAACGAGCGCAACCCUUGUCCUUAGUUACCAGCGGGUUAAGCCGGGAACUCUAAGGAUACUGCCAGUGACAAACUGGAGGAAGGCGGGGACGACGUCAAGUCAUCAUGGCCCUUACGACCAGGGCUACACACGUGCUACAAUGGUAGGUACAGAGGGCAGCUACACAGCGAUGUGAUGCGAAUCUCAAAAAGCCUAUCGUAGUCCAGAUUGGAGUCUGCAACUCGACUCCAUGAAGUAGGAAUCGCUAGUAAUCGCGGAUCAGAAUGCCGCGGUGAAUACGUUCCCGGGCCUUGUACACACCGCCCGUCACACCAUGGGAGUUGAUUGCACCAGAAGUGGAUAGCCUAACCCUUCGGGAAAGGCGUCCACCACGGUGUGGGUUGAUGACUGGGGUGAAGUCGUAACAAGGUAACCA
rnacentral:rRNA from 1 species